CCUACGGGAGGCUGCAGUCGAGAAUCAUUCACAAUGGGGGAAACCCUGAUGGUGCGACGCCGCGUGGGGGAAUGAAGGUCUUCGGAUUGUAAACCCCUGUCAUGUGGGAGCAAAUUAAAAAGAUAGUACCACAAGAGGAAGAGACGGCUAACUCUGUGCCAGCAGCCGCGGUAAUACAGAGGUCUCAAGCGUUGUUCGGAAUCACUGGGCGUAAAGCGUGCGUAGGCUGUUUCGUAAGUCGUGUGUGAAAGGCGCGGGCUCAACCCGCGGACGGCACAUGAUACUGCGGGCCUUGAGUGAUGAGAGGGGAACCGGAAUUCUCGGUGUAGCAGUGAAAUGCGUAGAUAUCGAGAGGAACACUCGUGGCGAAGGCGGGUGCCUGGACAUUAACUGACGCUGAGGCACGAAGGCCAGGGGAGCGAAAGGGAUUAGAUACCCUAGUAGUC
rnacentral:rRNA from 1 species